GGCAGUGUGGCUCAAGGGGAAGAGGCUCUGCUUUGCGGGUUGAACACACCUGGGUUCAAAUCCCAGCUCUGCCA
rnacentral:tRNA from 1 species